AUGGAGACAAUAAGUAGGACAUUUAAUAGAGUUUUGGCAUGCCUCCUCAGGUUAACACAUGACAUAAUUGUACCUAAGGAUCCAACAUUUUCAGAGGUGCACCCAAACUUAGAAAAUCCAGUAUUCUGGCCACACUUCAAUGACUGCAUAGGAGCUAUAGAUGGGACACAUGUGAAUGUUGUGGUGGAUAAGAGUAAGAGGGUUCCAUACUUGAACAGGCACAAUAAAACCAGUCAGAAUGUGCUUGUUGUUUGUGAUUUCGAAAUGAAAUUUACAUUUGUGAUGUCGGGAUGGCCUGGUUCAGCACAUGACAUGAGAGUUUUCAAAGAUGCCGUAACUACUCAUCAAGACAAAUUUCCACAUCCACCACCAGGGAAGUAUUAUGUGGUUGAUGCGGGAUACCCAAACCGGCCAGGCUACCUUUCACCAUACAAAUGUACAAGGUACCAUGUGCAACAAUGGCAAAAUGGCCCGCCGCCACAAGGUAUGAGAGAAACCUUCAACCAUGCACAUGCCAAAGUUAGGAAUGUCGUUGAGCGAUCCUUUGGAAUGUUGAAGAUGAAAUUUAGGAUUUUAUUGAAGAUGCCAAAAUUUCCAGAGGACAAGCAAAGUAGAAUUAUUGUUGCCUGUAUGGCUCUUCAUAAUUUCAUUCGAGAGAGCAGAAUUGCGGAUAGGGAAUUUGAUGCUUGUGAUGCAGAUGAAAAUUAUAACCCAAUGCCUAGUUCUUCUGCAUCCGCAUGGCCAGAAGACGAACCUCUUGUUGAAGAUAUCAACAUGAAUGCCUUCCGUGAUGAGUUAGCUCAUGCUUUGUUUUAUGGAGUGUAA
rnacentral:rRNA from 1 species